CCAGAGUAAAUGUAUAUAUACAGACUCAAAAUAUGCCUUUUUGGUGUUCUAUGCCCAUGGGGCCAUAUGGAAAGAGAGGGGACUCUUGACUGCUGGAAAGAGGGACAUAAAAUAUUCCCAGAACAUAUUGACAUUAUUAGAGGCCAUUAAUGAC